rnacentral:ncRNA from 1 species
CAGGUGUCGGAAGACUUAAUAAGGAAGUCCGGUACGGGGGAAACCUCAAGGCCGGUGCGGUCCCGCCACUGUAUCAGGGAGCGACUCUGCAAAAGUUAUGUCACUGGGGGAAACCUUGGGAAGGCGCGGAGAAGCUGUGAACUGGAGCCAGGAGAAUUGCCUGAUCA